AGAGUAUACAAGAGCAUUAGGCUCAAAAAUAACUAAAGUGUAUUCAAAGUGAACUCGGUGAAAAUCCGAGGCUGUCCCGCAACUGUAUAGCCAGAUCCUUUAAUACAUUAUUACCCGA
rnacentral:ncRNA from 2 species